rnacentral:sRNA from 1 species
AUGGAUACAAGUGAUCAAACUUUAACUUUUGAUGCAUUUUUGACCUGGAAAACGGAGGCUUUACGUGAAUAUCUUGGAAAACGCGGACUUGCGAAGGACAAAGCCAAGCAAGAACUUGCGGCUUUAUGUUAUUCAGCACAUGUAAUGAAAAUUCCAGAAAUACCAUCGGCAGCGGAAAAUGUUAAGGUCAGACAGUUCGAUUAUCAAAAUUUACUGAAUGUUAACGGGACCACUAUACCAGAUCCAUUUACUCUUCACAAGAACUGGGCAGACGAACGUGAUGGGAUGAAAAGCUGGCCACCCGUUUAUCUGAGUGACAUUAUUGAAUAUGCCGGUGUUUGUGACACCAACUUUAACAUAACCAAGUUCCUCCAACAAUAUAAAUUAGAUUGCAUCCCUUCACAGCACAUUAAAGACGAUCCCCAUAAGAUAUGGAUAUGCGUUGAGAAAGAGACAGGGACCAUCAGGUCAUCAUAUUGUACAUGCACAGCAGGGUUAGGAUCCCCCUGUGUCCAUGUUGUUUCUGUUCUUUUCCGCAUUGAGACAGCUCAUCGCUUAGGAGUCUCAGCAUGCACUUCUUUACCCUGCUCUUGGACUGUGCCCGCUUUCAAGUCCACCAGAGCGCCACCUUCAAAACUAAAAGAACUUGAAGUGUCAAAGCCAGUUCAUUCAUUGACUUGUGGUAUAGAUAUACCAAAAGAAGAAGUGAAAAUCAGAACAGAAGAGCCCGUCAACAUACAGAAGUAUAUGCUAGAGAAAAUGGUCAUGGAUGGACUAGAAGGCCCAAGUAUAGCUCACAAUCUGAGGCAGGAAACUGUUGAGGCACUUAACAAAGCUACUAUGGGUCAGCAUGCAAACAGUACAUGGCAUAAUUUAAGGAAAGGUACAGUACGUCCCUCAGAUUCCAGGGUGAAUUUUUAUUUCUUGGUGGAAAUUUCAUUGGCUGAGGAGCCCUCCGGAGAAGAGGCCCUACUGGGAGCAUUACUGGAGGAUGAGAUGGCCUCCUCACUUAAAGAAAAAUUAUAACCGGCACUCCCAGUGGUAUCACUUUACUAGCUCACUUUAUAAAGAUGGAGGAUAAUUGCUAUGGUCUCCGUUAUCUAUAAAUAAACAUUGUGAAAACAGUGAAAGUGGUGAAUCAACUCGUGCUUACAUGUAUAUGAUUUCAAUAAACAGUGAUCAUGAGAUAUUUAAUCUGUUUUAAAACGACAAAAUAGUGAUGUCAACAUUUCUGUAAGACUUUUUUUUCUCCAUUUGGAACUCACUCGGAAUACCUCGAUCGCCAGAGUUGACUUAACAGUAGUAAAAACACCAGAGAGUGUCUGUAAGAGAGUUGACUCGGAAAAGAAAUAAAUAAAUAACGAAAGUAAAGGUAAAAUGAAAAGAUCAGCUGGUGAUAUGAUGACAUAUCAGAGGCCCUAGACCAUCUGGCCACAGUUUUUACACCAACUUCGACAAGUAUGGGGGUAACACCACCAACAACAUGUAGCUGACCAAAGAAGAAACAAAACUUUUGUCCCAAUAUGUCGGCAAGUAAUGGGAGGCAGACUGAUUAUCAGGAUGGCUGCUGAGACCUAAACUGGGUGACAACCAUGUAUAUUACCAUGCAAUAGAGAUUUCAGGGUGGACGAUGGUGGGAAAAAAAUGAUAUUACAACUGAGCACUGUCACAAAAACAGCUGUCCAUCAAGCCAGCAUCAAACCCCAGAAAUCAACAGCUGCUGCUAUAACAACUUCGUCUUGAAAUCAAACUUGGAUCAAGAUGAAGCUAUCCCCAAGCUAUCGAGGGAGGUCCAUCAUUAAACCCAUUAGUCACCCCGAGCAAGGCAUGUUUUAUCCCCAAGUCACAUAUGGAGCAAUCUAUCCCUCAGCAUCUCAGGUAGCUCUAACCACCACCCAACUUCCCAGGGGACUUCGUGUCACUUAAUUACCAGCUUCCCAGGCGUCCGAGUCCUAUCCACAUUCUACCGAGGGACCAAUGGUUCAUCCCCAAGUCACCUCGUCGUAUUCCUUAUCCAUCCAGCCUACAGACCUUCUAGUGUCACCCAUGGGAAAUACAUCAUCAUCCAGACACAACAGAAUCAACAUUUUAACCCAAGGCAGCUCAGACAGCCACUACCCAACCCCUCCUUUCCAGCCAAGGAGCCACAUUUCAACAUACAUCCACUCAUGGGUCCACACCAAAUCCUCCAGUAACCAAAGACAACAGAUCAGUCCCAGAAAGCACCCUCCAUGGAUCCAGAUAAUCCCACUCCAGUUACACCCAGAGAGACCCAUCUCAUACCCCAGCAGGGAUUUACACCCAGAGAGACCCAUCUCAUACCCCAGCAGAAAUUUACACCCAGAGUGACCCAUUUCAUACCCCAGCAGGGAUUUACACCCAAAGAGACCCAUCUCAUACCCAUACCCAGCAGGGAUUUACACCCAGAGUGACCCAUCUCAUACCCCAGCAGGGAUUUACACCCAGAGAAACCCAUCUCAUACCCAGCAGGGAUUUACACCCAGAGUGACCCAUCUCAUACCCCAACAGGGAUUUACACCCAGAUGACCCAUCUCAUACCCCAGCAGGGAUUUACACCCAGAGUGACCCAUCUCAUAUCCCAGCAGGGAUUUACACCCAGAGUGACCCAUCUCAUACCCCAACAGGGAUUUACACCCAGAGUGACCCAUCUCAUAUCCCAGCAGGGAUUUACACCCAGAGUGACCCAUCUCAUACCCCAACAGGGAUUUACACCCAGAGUGACCCAUCUCAUACCCCAGCAGGGAUCAACUCCCAAUACCUCAACUAGCCUUCUAAAUGUCAGCUUUUGUGUUAAAGAGGCAUAAAAAUUGAAUUGCAAACAGCUUCAGUUAUAGACCAUUUUCUAAAAAUGUGUAAAGACUAGUAUCAGAGAUAUCAAGGAUUAAUAAUUUAAACAAGAACAAGUCCUUUAGGAAAAGAACUCGUGAUAUUGAUGUGAUUUAUUCAUGUUUAAUUCUCACUCUCUUUUACUGGUCUGGGGCUAUAAAACUAAGAGGGCUCACUUUGGAUCUUAUCUCACUUAUACACUAUACAUUCCUUUUGCAAAAGUG